rnacentral:rRNA from 1 species
UACAGAGGGUGCAAGCGUUAAUCGGAAUUACUGGGCGUAAAGCGCGCGUAGGUGGUUCGUUAAGUUGGAUGUGAAAUCCCCGGGCUCAACCUGGGAACUGCAUUCAAAACUGUCGAGCUAGAGUAUGGUAGAGGGUGGUGGAAUUUCCUGUGUAGCGGUGAAAUGCGUAGAUAUAGGAAGGAACACCAGGUGGCGAAGGCGACCACCUGGACUGAUACUGACACUGAGGUGCGAAAGCGUGGGGAGCAAACAGG